rnacentral:ncRNA from 1 species
UAAAUUCCUUUGAUGAGGAAGAGUAGCUAUUAUGUAAGGUUUAAGAGAGCCGAAGAUGGUGGGAUUUCGGUACUGUAGCAAAUAGUGAAUGGGCCUCUGAGGUGUGAUACGAAAUCUUAUGAUAGUAGUUGAUCCGUAAUUCCCACGAUAUAGGGAAUAGGGUAUGAUAGUACCUGAAAAUGAGAGGCUUUUUUAAGCAAUUUAGGUGGCAACGCGGAUAAUCUCCGUCCUAUAU